UACGUAGGGUGCGAGCGUUAAUCGGAAUUACUGGGCGUAAAGGGUGUGCAGGCGGCUGAGUAAGACAGAUGUGAAAUCCCCGGGCUUAACCUGGGAACCGCAUAUGUGACUGCUUGGCUAGAGUGCGUCAGAGGGAGGUGGAAUUCCACGUGUAGCAGUGAAAUGCAUAGAUAUCGCGCAGAACUCCGAUUGCGAAGGCAGCAUGCCGGCUCCACACUGACGCUGAGGCACGAAAGCGUGGGUAUCGAACAGG
rnacentral:rRNA from 1 species